rnacentral:rRNA from 1 species
UACGGAGGGUGCGAGCGUUGUCCGGAAUCACUGGGCGUAAAGGGCGCGUAGGCGGCGUGUCAAGUCAGGCGUGAAAGCCCCGGGCUCAACCUGGGAACCGCGCUUGAGACUGGCAUGCUCGAGUUCGGGAGAGGAUGGUGGAAUUCCCAGUGUAGAGGUGAAAUUCGUAGAUAUUGGGAAGAACACCGGAUGGCGAAGGCAGCCAUCUGGACCGACACUGACGCUGAGGCGCGAAAGCGUGGGGAGCAAACAGG